rnacentral:rRNA from 1 species
GACGAACGCUGGCGGCGUGCUUAACACAUGCAAGUCGAACGGAAAGACCAUGCUCUUGUGGGGUGCUCGUGUGGCGCGGGGGUGAGAAACACGUGAGUAUCCUGCACUUGUCUUUGUGAUAAAUUCAGGGAACUGCGGCUCAUACAGGAUAGGAGCUCGUGAUGCAUGGUGGUGGUUGGAAAGUUUCGGCGGUUGGUGAUGGACUCGAGGCUUAUCAGCUUGUUAGUGGGGUAGUGGAUGACCAAGGCUAUGACGGGUAGCCGGCAUGAGAGCGUGACCAGGCACAUUGGGACUACGAGACGGCCCAGACUCCUACGGGAGGCAACAGUGGGGAAAAUUGCGCAACAGGCGCAAGCGUGAUGCAGCAACGCCCCGAGCGUGAUAACGGCCUACGGGUUGUGAACCACUUUCACCUGUGACAAAACCUUAGUGACGGUAAUGGGUAAGAAAGCACCGGCUAACUACGUG